rnacentral:rRNA from 1 species
UACGGAGGAUGCGAGCGUUAUCCGGAUUUAUUGGGUUUAAAGGGUGCGUAGGCGGGCUUUUAAGUCAGCGGUAAAAAUUCAGGGCUCAACCCUGUCGAGCCGUCGGAACUGGCAGUCUUGAGUGGGCGAGAAGUAUGCGGAAUGCGUGGUGUAGCGGUGAAAUGCAUAGAUAUCACGCAGAACGCCGAUUGCGAAGGCAGCUUACCGGCGCUCAACUGACGCUGAGGCACGAAAGUGCGGGUAUCGAACAGG